UGGGGAAUAUUGGACAAUGGGCGCAAGCCUGACCCAGCCGUGCCGCGUGAGUGACGAAGGCCUUAGGGUUGUAAAGCUCUUUUGGCGGGGACGAUAAUGACGGUACCCGCAGAAUAAGCCCCGGCUAACUUCGUGCCAGCAGCCGCGGUAAUACGAAGGGGGCUAGCGUUGUUCGGAAUCACUGGGCGUAAAGCGCACGUAGGCGGACUUUCAAGUCAGGGGUGAAAUCCCGGGGCUCAACCUCGGAACUGCCUUUGAUACUGUUGGUCUCGAGUCCGGAAGAGGUGGGUGGAAUUCCUAGUGUAGAGGUGAAAUUCGUAGAUAUUAGGAAGAACACCGGUGGCGAAGGCGGCCCACUGGUCCGGUACUGACGCUGAGGUGCGAAAGCGUGGGGAGCAAACA
rnacentral:rRNA from 1 species